rnacentral:sRNA from 1 species
ACAUUAGCGGCUCCUUUAUUGCACCCGAACCUCGGGCGACUGAAAAGCCACCGCCCCCACCCCAAACUGCGAGCCGCGCUCCUGGCGCACCCGCCUCCCGCCGGCCUAGCUGCAAUGACAGCACAGGCCCGAAGGUCUCGGUCUCUCCGACCCGGGAUGUGGAGCCCGAAAGGGUGGUGGGAACCCCAGCCCGGGAGGGACGCGGCCGCCGCGCGGGCCAGAUCCCCUUAUCCAGGCCGCCUUUGGAAACCAGCCCACCUGCUACACAACCUUUUCCCAACACCGUGCUCCCACCCCUACCUCCGCUGCUGAAAAACCGCAUUGUGUGGGGGUCUGGAAUCUUCUGGACUCCUGGGAGCCCAAUCCGCUUGCCUCUUGUACCCCUCUUGCAGAGCAAUGAGGUAUAUUUUGGGUUUGUGUACUGACCCCUACCUGCCUCCUCUGCCAGACCUGAGGGCAGGAGCCUUCCUCUGGGUAUUCCAGUCCAUCUCGGACCUUCGAAGUCCUAGGAGACACCGGGCUCCCGCUGAAUAUUGGUUGAAUGACUUUCCAUAGAGCAAAUGGGGUAUACA